CCUACGGGUGGCAGCAGUGGGGAAUAUUGCACAAUGGGGGAAACCCUGAUGCAGCAACGCCGCGUGAGUGAAGAAGUUUUUCGUUAUGUAAACCUCUAUCGGCAGGGAAGAAAAUGACGGUAUCUGACUAAUAAGCACCGGCUAACUACGUGCCAGCAGCCGCGGUAAUACGUAGGGUGCAAGCGUUAUCCGGAUUUACUGGGUGUAAAGGGAGCGUAGACGGAAUUGCAAGUCCGGAGUGAAAGGCGGUGGCUGAACCCUAGGACUGCUUUGGAAACUGUUCGGCUGGAGUGCAGGAGAGGUAAGUGGAAUUCCUGGUGUAGCGGUGAAAUGCGUAGAGAUUAGGAGGAACACUAGUGGCGAAGGCGGGUUACUGGACUGUAACUGACGUGGAGGCUCGAAAGCGAGGGGAGCAAAAAGGAUUAGAUACCCCAGUAGUC
rnacentral:rRNA from 1 species